GAUGAAGAACGUAGCGAAAUGCGAUACUUGGUGUGAAUUGCAGAAUCCCGUGAACCAUCGAGUCUUUGAACGCAAGUUGCGCCCGAAGCCAUUAGGCCGAGGGCACGCCUGCCUGGGCGUCACACGUCGUUGCCCCCCCAUCUACUCCUUCGGGAUUGCGGGGGGCGGCUGAUGGCCUCCCGUGCGCCUCGUCGCGCGGUUGGCAUAAAUGCCAAGUCCUCGGCGACGCACGCCACGACAAUCGGUGGUUGCGAAACCUCGGUUGCCCGUCGUGUGCGGUCGUCGCGCAUCGAGGGCUCGAAAAAAUUGUCGGGCUCCGGCUCGGCUUUCAACGCGACCCCAGGUCAGGCGGGGUUACCCGCUGAAUUUAAGCAUAUCAAUAAGCGGAGGA
rnacentral:misc_RNA from 1 species